UAGGGAUUUUUCCAAUGGACGAAAGUCUGAUGGCAGCAACGCCGCGUGAACGAUGAAGGUCUUCGGAUUGUAAAGUUCUGUUGUUAGGGACGAACAAGAUACACGUUCGAAUAGGGCGGUACCUUGACGGUNCCUAACAAGAAAGCCACGGUUAACUACGUG
rnacentral:rRNA from 1 species